AAAAGAAGAUUUAGAUCAUGACAUGGUCAUGAGAGAGAGAGAGAGAGAGAGAGAGAGAGAUGGCAUUCAUUGCAGAAGCUCCUUGAAACAAAACUAUAGACCGUACUAAGGAUGUUUUCACCUUUCUUAGGAUAGGAAAAUAACGGAGAGCGCCAGGGUUGGAACCAGGGAGAGACCGAGUUGUGGCGCGACAGGCCCCAACCUGUGGGCUUCACUUGAGUUAAUUGCAGAGGCAUGGCCGUCUUUCCAGCUGAUUAAAGAGAGAGAGUCUUGAAUAUCCAAAAACUCUUCAUAAAAUUCCCCACACUCAUGCAAGUUAGAAGAUACCACCUUCCGUUAACUGAAAGCAAGAACUAGAUAAUUACGCAUUCUACAUCUUAGACAGUACAAUAAAAAUGGCCUUAACACCAAAACAUGUGAUGGCCAAAUGAUGUGUAGACUCCCCCCGGAAUUCGUCAAUAGAUACAAAACAUUUACAAGGUAGCACAAAGUAAAUUGUGAUUGCAAUGCCACAGCUUCAUCAAGAACCUGUUACGAGUCUUAUGACGUCUCUCACCUAGAAGGGGUUUCGGAUGCCUGACUAUUCAAAGCUGAAUUUGAGGGGACGGAAGGCAG